UGAAAAAACAAAUUUGUUUACAAAACAAAUCAUAUCUUUUGGUGACAAAUGCAUUCGUUGGCAAAAUAGCUGCUCGCGCUUUACUGUAGAUAUCUACAAUCAGCGGUCGAAUUAAAAACACUGCAGAAGGAUGUUUUGAGUAUAUUUUACCUUCUAGCCGCGCAAUCAAUGUUUUUCUUUCCAAGCAAGCAGGGUUUUAAUCGGCAAAAGCAUGAAAUAGAAUCGUACGUGGUACGAAUUUAUCGGCACAAUCCAAGCCCCGGGCAAGGGGAUAUGAUCCGCGAGUCAAGAUGUGCUACAAAUUUAGCUGUCAUUGCCAAACCUAUCAAAUUACUCGGCGAACUCAAGGCAAAUCUAUGGAACAAGGUGCGCCCAUUCGCUAACUAAAAAAAGAAUUGUUUUUUGAAAAAAAAAUUUAUGUGAAAUGAAAUGAUCAUGAUGAUCACAAGGGUCUGAAUGAUAAUUUAAAACGUAGAACCCUAGGUUGAUCACUUGAAAUGUAGUA